rnacentral:misc_RNA from 1 species
AAAUUUGAUUUUGUGGCAACACUAUCGUCGAUCAUACAAAUUAAAAUUUUUCUGUUCUUAUGCGGGCUUUUGUUCAGUACAUCUUAUACAAUGGGCGCUAGAGAAGCGUUGGUGUCAGUUUUCUUUAUAUAUUUAUCACAUUCGCUUGUAUUUGCAGCACAAAUUCCGAAACAAUUAAUAAAUGAAACUCCCAAAGAAACGCAGUUGAAGGCAGUUAGAGAAUUGGUUCACCGCACACUGUUGGAAAAAGAUUUAUUGUUUGAAAUCGAUAUAAAUAAAAAUUUAGAAUUUCGCAGCUUUCAGAUUUAUAAAACAACUACCAAUAAAAUCGUCAUUAUUGGAUACGAUGGAGUAUCUGCAGCUAAAGGAUUCAACCACUAUCUGAAGUACUUUCUUCAUAAAACAAUUUAUUGGUACAAUAAGCAUAUAUAUAUUGAAGAUGGCAUCGAAUUACCUUAUGUUAAUAUAACAUCAAAAUCCUCUAGUUCUGUUAUUUAUUAUCAAAAUGUAUGUACGUGGGGUUAUAGCUUCGUAUGGUGGAAUUGGUCGAAGUGGGUUGAGCAUAUUGAUUGGAUGGCCAUGAUGGGUAUAAGUCUUACAAUAGCACCAAUACAAGAGCAAUUAUGGUAUGAAACCUAUUUAGAAAUGGGUUUAACCGAGGAUGAAAUUGAUAUGCAUAUAUCCGGACCCGCAUUUCUACCAUGGAGGUGACUUUAAUGCCAAAAAUGUCUUCUGGGGAUCGAGAAUAACCUCUACUAAAGAAAAUGGAGAUGGACUGUCAUCAGACCACUCGCCUGUUCUAUUAACUCUAAAUGACUCAGCCAAGCAGAUCCCACAACAACCAUCGCUAACUAAUGCAAAAACUAACUGGCAAAAAUUUAGUACUGAACUAGAAGAAAAU